rnacentral:rRNA from 1 species
AGAGUUUGAUCAUGGCUCAGAUUGAACGCUGGCGGCAGGCCUAAGACAUGCAAGUCGAACGGUAACGACACUAGCUUGCUAGUGGUCGACGAGUGGCGGACGGGUGAGUAACGCGUAGGAAUCUACCUAGUAGUGGGGGAUAGCCAAGGGAAACUUUGGGUAAUACCGCAUACGAUCUAAGGAUGAAAGGGGGCCUCUCUUUGAAGCUCUCGCUAUUAGAUGAGCCUGCGUAAGAUUAGCUUGUUGGUGGGGUAAUGGCCCACCAAGGCGACGAUCUUUAGCUGGUCUGAGAGGAUGAUCAGUCACACUGGAACUGAGACACGGUCCAGACUCCUACGGGAGGCAGCAGUCGGGAAUAUUGGACAAUGGGGGAAACCCUGAUCCAGCCAUGCCGCGUGUGUGAAGAAGGCCCUAGGGUUGUAAAGCACUUUUAGUAGUGAGGAAGGCUCAGUAGUUAAUACCUACUGGGAUUGACGUUAGCUACAGAAAAAGCACCGGCUAAUUUCGUGCCAGCAGCCGCGGUAAUACGAAAGGUGCAAGCGUUAAUCGGAAUUACUGGGCGUAAAGCGCGCGUAGGUGGUUUGUUAAGUUGGAUGUGAAAGCCCUGGGCUCAACCUAGGAACUGCAUCCAAAACUAACUCACUAGAGUACGAUAGAGGGAGGUAGAAUUCAUAGUGUAGCGGUGGAAUGCGUAGAUAUUAUGAAGAAUACCAGUGGCGAAGGCGGCCUCCUGGAUCUGUACUGACACUGAGGUGCGAAAGCGUGGGUAGCGAACAGGAUUAGAUACCCUGGUAGUCCACGCC